UCUUACACAGGUUGUGGAGAGAGUGUCA
rnacentral:piRNA from 1 species